UACGUAGGGUGCAAGCGUUGUCCGGAAUUAUUGGGCGUAAAGAGCUCGUAGGCGGUCUGUUGCGUCGGCUGUGAAAUCCCGGAGCUCAACUCCGGGUCUGCAGUCGAUACGGGCAGACUGGAGUACUGCAGGGGAGACUGGAAUUCCUGGUGUAGCGGUGGAAUGCGCAGAUAUCAGGAGGAACACCGGUGGCGAAGGCGGGUCUCUGGGCCGUUACUGACGCUGAGGAGCGAAAGCGUGGGGAGCGAACAGG
rnacentral:rRNA from 1 species